UACAGAGGGGGCGAGCGUUGUUCGGAAUUACUGGGCGUAAAGGGCGCGUAGGCGGCCUUCUAAGUCGAACGUGAAAUCCCCGGGCUCAACCCGGGAACUGCGUCCGAUACUGGGAGGCUUGAAUCCGGGAGAGGGAUGUGGAAUUCCAGGUGUAGCGGUGAAAUGCGCAGAUAUCAGGAAGAACACCCGUGGCGAAAGCGGCUCUCUGGAACGGUACUGACGCUGAGACGCGAAAGCGUGGGGAGCGAACAGG
rnacentral:rRNA from 1 species